GCUUUAAGGAGCUCCAACUACACUGAAAUAUGAAAAUAUCGUUUUAAUCAUGCGCAUGUUGACAAAUGCAGAAAUGCUGGAGAUUCAGAAAUAGGGACGUGGUAUUCCAAGACUAAACAGGAGGUCGCAGCAGGAAGGCAGACUCAAGGGUAACCUUUGCUGUAAGGUAGAUACAGAUCCUGUACGCCACCGUAGACUCAAAACAAUCAAUGUCAAGAAGUAUUUCAUUUUCUAUAGGAACUUUCAGCUCAGAAGCUCUGAUGUUAGCACCAAAGCACAUGAUGGUUUGUGAUAUGAAAUCUCAUUCCAUCCGUGGAUUCCUCCAUCAUCAGCUGGAAAUUUAACUGAACCGUGGAAAAUUUAAAAAGAGGGAAUUGUGCUGGCUACCCUGGGGAGCUCAAGGAUGAAGUGAACAUCAGAUCCUGCAAACCAGGAAUUUACUGAGUAAUACAUAGCUUUUGCAUGACACUCAUAGAAAGACAUAGGAAGCAGCUGUGCAUGGACUACUUGAUGGACAGCAUUGGGAACUGUGAGCAUUCAAUGCCUCUUUGCUCCUUGGAUUUGAGAUACUGUGCCUCUUAUAUAGCCUCCCCAUUUAUUAGUUUCCACAUCGAAAAAAUAAGAUCUGCUUAAAAGACUUAA